GAUGAACGCUGGCGGCGCGCCUAAUACAUGCAAGUCGAGCGAACAGACGAGGAGCUUGCUCCUCUGACGUUAGCGGCGGACGGGUGAGUAACACGUGGAUAACCUACCUAUAAGACUGGGAUAACUUCGGGAAACCGGAGCUAAUACCGGAUAAUAUAUUGAACCGCAUGGUUCAAUAGUGAAAGACGGUUUUGCUGUCACUUAUAGAUGGAUCCGCGCCGCAUUAGCUAGUUGGUAAGGUAACGGCUCACCAAGGCAACGAUGCGUAGCCGACCUGAGAGGGUGAUCGGCCACACUGGAACUGAGACACGGUCCAGACUCCUACGGGAGGCAGCAGUAGGGAAUCUUCCGCAAUGGGCGAAAGCCUGACGGAGCAACGCCGCGUGAGUGAUGAAGGUCUUCGGAUCGUAAAACUCUGUUAUUAGGGAAGAACAAAUGUGUAAGUAACUAUGCACGUCUUGACGGUACCUAAUCAGAAAGCCACGGCUAACUACGUG
rnacentral:rRNA from 1 species